rnacentral:tRNA from 1 species
AAAUAAGAAGUAAAAUUUUACAUUUAGUUUCGACCUAAAAAUUGGUAUUAAAAAUAAUACCCUUAUUUA